rnacentral:rRNA from 1 species
AGAGUUUGAUUCUGGCUCAGAACGAACGCUGGCGGCGCGUCUUAAACAUGCAAGUCGAACGAUCUGUAGCAAUACAGGGAGUGGCGGACGGGUGAGGAACACGUAGGAAUCUACCUCAGAGAGCGGGACAACCUUGGGAAACCGGGGCUAAUACCGUAUAGUACAGAGAUGUUAAAGGGCUAGUAAUAGUCGCUUUGAGAUGAGCCUGCGGUCUAUCAGCUAGUUGGCGGGGUAAUGGCCCACCAAGGCAACGACGGAUAGCCGGUCUGAGAGGAUGAUCGGCCACACUGGCACUGAGACACGGGCCAGACUCCUACGGGAGGCAGCAGUUAAGAAUCUUGCGCAAUGGGGGAAACCCUGACGCAGCGACGCCGCGUGAAGGAUGAAGGCUUUCGGGUUGUAAACUUCGGUAGACUGGGAAGAAGAAAUACGUUCGUUGAGGGCGUAUAGUGACGGUACCAGUCUGAAGCCCCGGCUAAUUACGUGCCAGCAGCCGCGGUAAUACGUAUGGGGCAAGCGUUGUUCGGAAUUAUUGGGCGUAAAGGGCUCGCAGGUGGUUUGUUAAGUUGGGGGUUUAAUCUCUGGGCUCAACCCAGAGUCAGCCUUCAAAACUGGCGAACUUGAGUACGAGAGGGGAUAGCGGAAUUCUCGGUGUAGCGGUGGAAUGCGUAGAUAUCGAGAGGAACACCAAUGGCGAAGGCAGCUAUCUGGCUCGUAACUGACACUCAUGAGCGAAAGUGCGGGGAGCAAACAGGAUUAGAUACCCUGGUAGUCCGCACCGUAAACGUUGUAUACUAGUUGUUGGUGGUUUCAACGCCAUCAGUGACGUCGCUAACGCAUUAAGUAUACCGCCUGGGGAGUAUGCUCGCAAGGGUGAAACUCAAAGAAAUUGACGGGGGCCCGCACAAGCGGUGGAGCAUGUGGUUUAAUU